rnacentral:lncRNA from 1 species
UCGCGGAGUCGUCCCCAUGGAAAAAGCGCAAACAUCCCGAGACGUCUCCGUAAAGUACCGAGCCGACUCUCUCAGAAAAACAGAAGAACAAGCAUUCAAGUCGUUCUUCUUCAGAGUCGUUCCUGUAAAAGUGCCGAGUCGACUCCAAACACCGUCAAGAGAAAUUUUAUACAGCCGAGACGUCUCGCGUCGAAGCGGAGACGUCUCCGGAGCG